AUUGAACGCUGGCGGCAUGCCUUACACAUGCAGGUCGAACGGUAACGGGCCUUCGGGUGCCGACGAGUGGCGCACGGGUGAGUAAUACAUCGGAACGUGCCCGAUCGUGGGGGAUAACGAGGCGAAAGCUUUGCUAAUACCGCAUACGAUCUACGGAUGAAAGCAGGGGACCGCAAGGCCUUGCGCGGACGGAGCGGCCGAUGGCAGAUUAGGUAGUUGGUGGGAUAAAAGCUUACCAAGCCGACGAUCUGUAGCUGGUCUGAGAGGAUGAUCAGCCACACUGGGACUGAGACACGGCCCAGACUCCUACGGGAGGCAGCAGUGGGGAAUUUUGGACAAAGGGCGCAAGCCUGAUCCAGCCAUGCCGCGUGCAGGAUGAAGGCCUUCGGGUUGUAAACUGCUUUUGUACGGAACGAAAAGCCUUCUUUUAAUACAGGAGGGUCAUGACGGUACCGUAAGAAUAAGCACCGGCUAACUACGUG
rnacentral:rRNA from 1 species